rnacentral:rRNA from 1 species
GACGAACGCUGGCGGCGUGCUUAACACAUGCAAGUCGAACGGAAAGGCCCUGCUUUUGUGGGGUGCUCGAGUGGCGAACGGGUGAGUAACACGUGAGUAACCUGCCCUUGACUUUGGGAUAACUUCAGGAAACUGGGGCUAAUACCGUAUAGGAGCUCCUGCUGCAUGGUGGGGGUUGGAAAGUUUCGGCGUUUGGGGAUGGACUCGCGGCUUAUCAGCUUGUUGGUGGGGGAGUGGCUUACCAAGGCUUUGACGGGUAGCCGGCCUGAGAGGGUGACUGGCCACAUUGGGCCUGAGAUACGGCCCAGACUCCUACGGUAGGCAGCAGUGGGGAAUAUUGCACAAUGGGCGGAAGCCUGAUGCAGCAACGCCGCGUGCGGGAUGACGGCCUGCGGGUUGUAAACCGCUUUCGCCUGUGACGAAGCGUGAGUGACGGUAAUGGGUAAAGAAGCACCGGCUAACUACGUG